ACGACUGCUAAGACUGGAUAGGAGAUAAGAAGGCAUCUUCUUAUUUUUAAAAGACCAAGCAAUAGGUAUGCUUAGGGAAGAGCUUGCGUCACAUUAGUUAGUUGGUGGGGUAAUGGCCUACCAAGACGAUGAUGUGUAGCCGGGCUGAGAGGUCGAACGGCCACAUUGGGACUGAGACACGGCCCAAACUCCUACGGGAGGCAGCAGUAAGGAAUUUUCGGCAAUGGAGGAAACUCUGACCGAGCAAUGCCGCGUGAACGAUGAAGUAUUUCGGUACGUAAAGUUCUUUUAUUAGGGAAGAAAGGAUGGUGGAAAAACCAUUAUGACGGUACCUAAUGAAUAAGCCCCGGCUAACUAUGUGCCAGCAGCCGCGGUAAUACAUAGGGGGCAAGCGUUAUCCGGAAUUAUUGGGCGUAAAGGGUGCGUAGGCGGUUAAAUAAGUUUAUGGUCUAAGUGCAACGCUCAACGUUGUGAUGCUAUAAAAACUGUUUAGCUAGAGUUGGAUAGAGGCAAGUGGAAUUCCGUGUGUAGUGGUAAAAUGCGUAAAUAUACGGAGGAACACCAGAAGCGAAGGCGGCUUGCUGGGUCUUAACUGACGCUGAGGCACGAAAGCGUGGGGAGCAAACAGGAUUAGAUACCCUGGUAGUCCACGCCCUAAACGAUGAGUACUAAACGUUGGAUAAAACCAGUGUUGAAGUUAACACAUUAGGUACUCCGCCUGAGUAGUACGUACGCAAGUAUGAAACUUAAAGGAAUUGACGGGACUCCGCACAAGCGGUGGAUCAUGUUGUUUAAUUCGAAGGUACCCGAAAAACCUCACCAGGUCUUGACAUGCUUUUGCAAAGCUGUAGAAAUACAGUGGAGGUUAUCAGAAGCACAGGUGGUGCAUGGUUGUCGUCAGCUCGUGUCGUGAGAUGUUGGGUUAAGUCCCGCAACGAGCGCAACCCUUGUUGUUAAUUGCCAUCAUUAAGUUGGGGACUUUAGCAAGACUGCCAAUGAUAAAUUGGAGGAAGGUGGGGACGACGUCAAAUCAUCAUGCCCCUUAUGACCUGGGCUACAAACGUGAUACAAUGGCUGUUACAAAGGGUAGCUAAAGCGUAAGCUUCUGGCGAAUCUCAAAAAAGCAGUCUCAGUUCGGAUUGAAGUCUGCAACUCGACUUCAUGAAGUUGGAAUCGCUAGUAAUCGCGAAUCAGCAUGUCGCGGUGAAUACGUUCUCGGGGUUUGUACACACCGCCCGUCA
rnacentral:rRNA from 1 species